UUGACAAAAAGGACUCUGUAAGAAAUUUUCAUUUUAUCCCUUCAAUAAUGUCAGAGUCUGAGAAAUGCAAACCAACCAAUUCAAUGCAUGCUUCUACUCUAUUUUUUGUAUGUAGCUUUCACUUGAUUGAACAAACAAAUGAAUAUUUUUUUAUAUUGGUAGUUUUAAAAUGUGAUUGAGAAAGGUGUUGUCAUAUCAUGACUCAAAGGUUAUGGAUUUAUUCCUUCAAAAUAAAGAAGAUCUAUGUGAUCUAAUUUUCAUAAAGAAGAUCUAUGUGAUCUAAUUUUCCUGUGAUUUGUCGAUUCACAUCGAUCAAAGCUGUUGUGUGCUACAUACAUAGCACAACUCCCGAGUUUUCCUCUUACCGAUAGACAUCAAUCCAAGUCUCUGAGGGACAACACUAGGAGUUUCACUCUGGACCUGAGAGAAGAGAAGGUUCGCGAUCCUACAUAGAUGCUCAAUCAAUAUGUAUUGAAUGAUGGUACAUUCCUUGAAAAAUUAGGGUAGUCUCUUACAAAAAUAUAAGUUUUGAAUAUGGCGACUUUGGCACAGGACAAACUGAUGACAGUUCCAUAUCCUGGGACUUUUUGUUCAUAACGAUGUCAUGCUCGUCUUUGACACUCCGGAGAAGCAAAUUUUGAUUGAAUCUAUAUUUACUCAGUGUAUACAAUCUGCUCGUGAAAAAACUUCAUAUGAGGUUGAUGUACUUCACCAAGUGGCCCAACAUUCAAUGCGGGUUGAAGCAUCUGGUUGUCGGGUUGGUUAAAUGUUAUUAAUGAAAAUAGUAAUUCAUUAUUCUAAACAAUAGGUCUUGAAAACUUUUUAGUUCAUCA